rnacentral:rRNA from 1 species
CGACUAAGCGUACACGGUGGAUGCCAUGGCAGUCAGAGGCGAUGAAGGACGUGCUAAUCUGCGAAAAGCGUCGGUAAGGUGAUAUGAACCGUUACAGCCGGCGAUGUCCGAAUGGGGAAACCCAGUGCAAUUCGUUGCACUAUCGUUAACUGAAUACAUAGGUUAACGAGGCGAACCGGGGGAACUGAAACAUCUAAGUACCCCGAGGAAAAGAAAUCAACC